UUCUUCCUCGCACAAUCCCCACAUGUCCGACAGGUAAAUCUAAACUUCUUCAUCUCUCAAGGGCUCUGUUCUUCAACCUAUGUUAAGUCUUUCAAUCCCCUGUUGAGAAAAAAGAUUGACUCUUUUGAUUGAUAACUUGAGCUUCUUGGUUCCUUUCUGGAGAACAAAGUUACCUUUUGAUUGAUUACUUGAGCUGCUACGGUUUCUGGAGGAUAAAGUUUGACUCUUUUGAUUGAUUAGUGGAGCUUCUUGGUUUCUUGAUGACAAAGUUUGACUCUUUUUGAUUGAUUACUUGAGCUUCUUGGUUUCUGGAGAACAAAGUUUGACUCUUUUGAUUGAUCAUUGGAGCUUCUU
rnacentral:lncRNA from 1 species